AUAGGGUCAAGUGAAUAAGUGCAUCAGGCGGAUGCCUUGGCGAUGAUAGGCGACGAAGGACGUGUAAGCCUGCGAAAAGCGCGGGGGAGCUGGCAAUAAAGCUAUGAUUCCGCGAUGUCCGAAUGGGGAAACCCACUGCAUUCUGUGCAGUAUCCUAAGUUGAAUACAUAGGCUUAGAGAAGCGAACCCGGAGAACUGAACCAUCUAAGUACCCGGAGGAAAAGAAAUCAACCGAGAUUCCGCAAGUAGUGGCGAGCGAACGCGGAGGAGCCUGUACGUAAUAACUGUCGAGAUAGAAGAACAAGCUGGGAAGCUUGACCAUAGCGGGUGACAGUCCCGUAUUCGAAAUCUCAACAGCGGUACUAAGCGUACGAAAAGUAGGGCGGGACACGUGAAAUCCUGUCUGAAUAUGGGGGGACCAUCCUCCAAGGCUAAAUACUCAUCAUCGACCGAUAGUGAACCAGUACCGUGAGGGAAAGGCGAAAAGAACCCCGGGAGGGGAGUGAAACAGAACCUGAAACCUGAUGCAUACAAACAGUGGGAGCGCCCUAGUGGUGUGACUGCGUACCUUUUGUAUAAUGGGUCAACGACUUACAUUCAGUAGCGAGCUUAACCGGAUAGGGGAGGCGUAGGGAAACCGAGUCUUAAUAGGGCGAUGAGUUGCUGGGUGCAGACCCGAAACCGAGUGAUCUAUCCAUGGCCAGGUUGAAGGUGCCGUAACAGGUACUGGAGGACCGAACCCACGCAUGUUGCAAAAUGCGGGGAUGAGCUGUGGGUAGGGGUGAAAGGCUAAACAAACUCGGAGAUAGCUGGUUCUCCCCGAAAACUAUUUAGGUAGUGCCUCGAGCAAGACACUGAUGGGGGUAAAGCACUGUUAUGGCUAGGGGGUUUUGCAACUUACCAACCCAUGGCAAACUCAGAAUACCAUCAAGUGGUUCCUCGGGAGACAGACAGCGGGUGCUAACGUCCGUUGUCAAGAGGGAAACAACCCAGACCGCCGGCUAAGGUCCCAAAUGAUAGAUUAAGUGGUAAACGAAGUGGGAAGGCACAGACAGCCAGGAUGUUGGCUUAGAAGCAGCCAUCAUUUAAAGAAAGCGUAAUAGCUCACUGGUCGAGUCGUCCUGCGCGGAAGAUGUAACGGGGCUCAAAUCUAUAACCGAAGCUGCGGAUGCCGGUUUACCGGCAUGGUAGGGGAGCGUUCUGUAGGCUGAUGAAGGUGCAUUGUAAAGUGUGCUGGAGGUAUCAGAAGUGCGAAUGUUGACAUGAGUAGCGAUAAAGCGGGUGAAAAGCCCGCUCGCCGAAAGCCCAAGGUUUCCUACGCAACGUUCAUCGGCGUAGGGUAAGUCGGCCCCUAAGGCGAGGCAGAAAUGCGUAGUCGAUGGGAAACAGGUUAAUAUUCCUGUACUUGAUUCAAAUGCGAUGUGGGGACGGAGAAGGUUAGGUUGGCAAGCUGUUGGAAUAGCUUGUUUAAGCCGGUAGGUGGAAGACUUAGGCAAAUCCGGGUUUUCUUAACACCGAGAAGUGAUGACGAGUGUCUACGGACACGAAGCAACCGAUACCACGCUUCCAGGAAAAGCCACUAAGCUUCAGUUUGAAUCGAACCGUACCGCAAACCGACACAGGUGGGCAGGAUGAGAAUUCUAAGGCGCUUGAGAGAACUCGGGAGAAGGAACUCGGCAAAUUGAUACCGUAACUUCGGGAGAAGGUAUGCCCUCUAAGGUUAAGGACUUGCUCCGUAAGCCCCGGAGGGUCGCAGAGAAUAGGUGGCUGCGACUGUUUAUUAAAAACACAGCACUCUGCCAACACGAAAGUGGACGUAUAGGGUGUGACGCCUGCCCGGUGCCGGAAGGUUAAUUGAAGAUGUGCAAGCAUCGGAUCGAAGCCCCGGUAAACGGCGGCCGUAACUAUAACGGUCCUAAGGUAGCGAAAUUCCUUGUCGGGUAAGUUCCGACCCGCACGAAUGGCGUAACGAUGGCCACACUGUCUCCUCCCGAGACUCAGCGAAGUUGAAGUGGUUGUGAAGAUGCAAUCUACCCGCUGCUAGACGGAAAGACCCCGUGAACCUUUACUGUAGCUUUGCAUUGGACUUUGAAGUCACUUGUGUAGGAUAGGUGGGAGGCUUGGAAGCAGAGACGCCAGUCUCUGUGGAGUCGUCCUUGAAAUACCACCCUGGUGUCUUUGAGGUUCUAACCCAGACCCGUCAUCCGGGUCGGGGACCGUGCAUGGUAGGCAGUUUGACUGGGGCGGUCUCCUCCCAAAGCGUAACGGAGGAGUUCGAAGGUUACCUAGGUCCGGUCGGAAAUCGGACUGAUAGUGCAAUGGCAAAAGGUAGCUUAACUGCGAGACCGACAAGUCGGGCAGGUGCGAAAGCAGGACAUAGUGAUCCGGUGGUUCUGUAUGGAAGGGCCAUCGCUCAACGGAUAAAAGGUACUCCGGGGAUAACAGGCUGAUUCCGCCCAAGAGUUCAUAUCGACGGCGGAGUUUGGCACCUCGAUGUCGGCUCAUCACAUCCUGGGGCUGUAGUCGGUCCCAAGGGUAUGGCUGUUCGCCAUUUAAAGUGGUACGUGAGCUGGGUUUAAAACGUCGUGAGACAGUUUGGUCCCUAUCUGCAGUGGGCGUUGGAAGUUUGACGGGGGCUGCUCCUAGUACGAGAGGACCGGAGUGGACGAACCUCUGGUGUACCGGUUGUAACGCCAGUUGCAUAGCCGGGUAGCUAAGUUCGGAAGAGAUAAGCGCUGAAAGCAUCUAAGCGCGAAACUCGCCUGAAGAUGAGACUUCCCUUGCGGUUUAACCGCACUAAAGGGUCGUUCGAGACCAGGACGUUGAUAGGUGGGGUGUGGAAGCGCGGUAACGCGUGAAGCUAACCCAUACUAAUUGCCCGUGAGGCUUGACUCUAU
rnacentral:rRNA from 1 species